rnacentral:rRNA from 1 species
CAGGAUGAACGCUGGCGGCGUGCCUAAUACAUGCAAGUCGAACGAAUCUUCUUCGGAAGAUGAGUGGCGAACGGGUGAGUAAUACAUAGGUAACCUGCCCCUGUGCGGGGGAUAACAGGAGGAAACUCCUGCUAAUACCGCAUAGCCAUGAGCACCGCAUGGAGCUCAUGCCAAAUAUCCUUUCGGGGAUAGCGCAGGGAUGGACCUAUGGCGCAUUAGCUAGUUGGCGGGGCAACGGCCCACCAAGGCAACGAUGCGUAGCCGGCCUGAGAGGGCGGACGGCCACAUUGGGACUGAGACACGGCCCAGACUCCUACGGGAGGCAGCAGUAGGGAAUUUUCGGCAAUGGGGGAAACCCUGACCGAGCAACGCCGCGUGAGCGAAGAAGGCCUUCGGGUCGUAAAGCUCUGUUGUAAAGGAAGAACGGCGCAUACAGGAAAUGGUAUGCGAGUGACGGUACUUUACCAGAAAGCCACGGCUAACUACGUGCCAGCAGCCGCGGUAAUACGUAGGUGGCGAGCGUUAUCCGGAAUCAUUGGGCGUAAAGAGGGAGCAGGCGGCCGCAAGGGUCUGUGGUGAAAGACCGAAGCUAAACUUCGGUAAGCCAUGGAAACCGGGCGGCUAGAGUGCGGAAGAGGAUCGUGGAAUUCCAUGUGUAGCGGUGAAAUGCGUAGAUAUAUGGAGGAACACCAGUGGCGAAGGCGACGGUCUGGGCCGCAACUGACGCUCAUUCCCGAAAGCGUGGGGAGCAAAUAGGAUUAGAUACCCUAGUAGUCCACGCCGUAAACGAUGGUCACUAAGUGUCGGGGGUCAAACCCCGGUGCUGCAGUCAACGCAAUAAGUGACCCGCCU